ACGCUCGACACCUAGAGGCAGCAGUGAGGAAUAUUGGUCAAUGGGCGCUAGCCUGAACCAGCCAAGUAGCGUGAAGGAUGAAGGCUCUAUGGGUCGUAAACUUCUUUUAUAUAAGAAUAAAGUGCAGUAUGUAUACUGUUUUGUAUGUAUUAUAUGAAUAAGGAUCGGCUAACUCCGUGCCAACAGCCGCGGUAAUCUGAGCGGGCUGGCAAGGC
rnacentral:rRNA from 1 species